rnacentral:rRNA from 2 species
UCUUUUUGAAAUAAAUUUAAAGUCUAACCUGCCCACUGAUAAAAAUUAAAGGGCCGCAGUAUUUUGACUGUGCGAAGGUAGCAUAAUCAUUAGUCUUUUAAUUGAAGGCUUGUAUGAAUGGUUGAAUGAGAUAUAUACUGUCUUUUUUAAAAUUAUAUAGAAUUUUAUUUUUUAAUUAAAAAGUUAAAAUAAAAUUAAAGGACGAGAAGACCCUAUAGAUCUUUAUUUUUUUUAUUUAUAAAUUAAAAAGAAUUUUAAAAUUUAUAAUUUAAUAAAAAAUUUUAUUGGGGUGAUAUUAAAAUUUAAAAAACUUUUAAAAUUUAUUAACAUAAAUAUAUGAAUAAAUGAUCCAGUUUUAUUGAUUAAAAAAUUAAGUUACCUUAGGGAUAACAGCGUAAUUUUUUUUUAGAGUUCAUAUCGACAAAAAAGAUUGCGACCUCGAUGUUGGAUUAAGAGUUAUUUUUAGGUGUAGAAGUUUAAAGUUUAGGUCUGUUCGACCUUUGAAUUCUUACAUG